AAGAUCAGUGAAAAAGAAACCAUAAUUUGAAAAAGGUUGUACAGAUUCAAAAACCUUCACCAACACGAUAUUGAGAAAACAAACAAAAAGAAAAAAAGCAAUACAAACUCCCAGCACAAAGCAUUAUAGUGUUGUUGAAUCUAAAAGGUAGAAAAUGAAAGGAAGGUUAUAAUCGAGAUGUAAUAGUCCUAUAUAUGUGUUUGCCAGAUCCAUUACAAGAGAAAGAUAGAAAGGAAUUGAAAAAAACAAAAAAAAAAAAAACAAACAAAAAGGAACCUCUAGCUUAUCUAUGCUCUUGGAUGCCAAAAAUAGAAAAAUCAAAUGGUAUCAAGCUUUAGCUUGUUGUAAGCUAAAGACUAUUAUUACUACGUUGCAAUCCCAAGCACGUCCGCGCCAGAAUCUUCACUGAUCAUGUUGCUUCAUUAAUUUUUCCUGGGUUUCCAUGCUGAAGCCCAAACCACAGGUUCAUCUCUCCAAGUCAAGUAAAUUCCAGGUGACUCUUGAUUUUCUUGUGGUAGCACAAGUGACCAUCCAGCCUUGUACCUCUUAAGCAAGGACUUAACAUCAUCAACAGCAUCAUCGUUGAGUGGAAAUGGAGAAAACCACUCUCUAAGCCUUUCAGACCAUUGAUUUCCUCUUUCUCUUGUUUCACCAUCUCCUUCACCAAUUUGAUUAUCACAAGCCAAAACCUUAACUAUGCUUUUGGAACAUUCCCUUUCGAUCACAAGCCUUUCGUUGCUCGUAGUUGGAAAGCUUUCAUCAAGCAUCUCAAAGUAUAAUGUGUAGAACCUAAGGCAUUCUUCAAAACACUUAACAAAGUCAUUCCUUGUGCUAGAAAAAUCAGCCUCAUGUUCUACUAUUGUUACAAUUUUAGGGUUAAGUGAUUGAAGCAUUUUUAUAACAUCUCCCCUUUCUUCUACUUCAACUUUUCUUAAGGCACCUAUGCAAUUAACAGCCACUGCUUCUUCUUCUUUUAUAUUCAAACUCUCCUUUGUGAGUUCUUUAAACUUGUUCAAUCCACUUAUAACAUUGAACUCAAAAGGCACUCCCAUUAACCUAGAAACUUGUUCAAUCCACUUAUAACAUUAAACUCAAAAGGCACUACCAUUAACCUAGCAAAUUUCUCCAUUCUUUGUGCUACUUCUUUCAUAACUGAUUUCAAUAACGUGCUUUCCGUGACAACAACUGUGAGUUUUAGAUGUGGUAUUUCGUCGUUUCGCGUGGCUAAAGAUUCUAGUAAAGUUGGCCACUGAGUACAGAAAGUGUGACUUAUAUCAAUUAUAUGAAGCUUACUCUCACCAUCUAAUGCUUCUAAAAUUGCACCAUUUGAUGCAACGUGACCAAAAGUUGUCCAUGGACUUACCUCUUGAAACUUUAGGAUCAAUUUCGUAGACGAGUCAAAAGAUUUGGUCUUUUCAGCAGCUGAAGUUAGGGUUUUAUAGCACCUCAAACCAGUAUCAGUGGCCUUACAAAAAAGGGCUUGCAAGAAAUGAAAUGCCAAUUUUUGAUUGCAAUCACCAUAGGGAGAAGCAAGCUCAUUUAACAUCCACAACAAGUGAUGGAUCUUAGUUGAAUCUUUCUCAGAAAUCGCGGUAACACACUCCCGGAGAAGCUUAGAAGCCCACUUGGUAUCAGAAACUGGAUCACCAUUUUCUGGUGAUUGACUUCUUGAUAAGUUAUCGUGAGGCUGUUGAUUAGGGUUUUGCAUGUUUAUCAAAUGAUGAACAUAGUUGGUUACUAAGAAAUUAUUUAUAGGUUUAGAAAAGAAGAGACUUUUUCCCAUGAGUUAUGGAGCCCUCUUAGUAGUGGCUCUAAGAAAGCACUUUUGCAGGUUUAAAGCCAUUUUGAUUUCAGUGUGGAUUAGUAAUCAAAGUAGGAUAAUUAAUUAAGCUUUUCGAAUGUCUUAUAAGAUUCUAGCAACAUAAUUUGUCAUAUAUUCGUCACAUACAUCGUCACAAUAUGGACUUUUCUAUUGUUAAUUUAAUUUCAUUAACUAAAUAACUUUCUAUAUUUGUUAGGUACGCUAUACUCACCAGUAGAUCGAUUACACUCGAUUACUCGUACAUUGGGAGAGAGACUAUAUAUGCUCCUCAAUUAUAUUGACAAGAAUAGAAAUUCCUUAUCUCUAUUCAGGAGCGGAUGCAAUAAACUAGUGUCGGGUUCAACUGAACCCAAUACAUUUAAUGUAGGACAUAAAUUUAUGUGUAAAAAUUUAUUAAAAUUAUAAAAAAUAGUAUAUAUGAACACAUAACUUUAAAUAUACUAUGGAUCCAAUAUUAAAAAUAUUAAAGGUUGAACCUAUAAAGUUUAAAUCCUACCUCCACAUCUGUCUCUAUUGACAAAUUAAAAUAACAGAAAAAAAAGAGUAAAAAAAUAUCAUUAAAACUUUCAUGAAAUUAGCUGCUUCUUUGUCAAAAACGCAUAAUCUAUUUGAUCUUAUUAGAAUUAGUAAGAGUCGAUGAUAUUACUUAACUAAGUUUAGUUUGAACUAUUUAGAUAAUACUUUUGGUUAGGUGUUAAGCUAAUCAAAAUUUUGUUAAUUUAGCUCUUGUAAACUCAAUACUUGUUCUUUUUAGAUAGGAUGAUCAGUUUUUUAAAAUUGAACUACUCAAGAGAAUGAUAGAAAUUAGGUGUGUAUAAAGGAAAUCGAUAAACCGCACUAACCCGAUAAUCCGAGUUAAAUCGAGAAAAAAAAAUCAACUAUGGUUUGGUUUGACUUGGUUUGGUAUUGAAAAAAAACCCGAUCAUAAUUGGUUUGGUUUGGUUUUAAUUAAAGAAAGUCAAACCGAAAUCAAACCAACCCGACAUUACACAUAUAGAAAUUUUAGAUAUAAUUAACAUAUAAAUAUCCUUAUUGUAAUGUAAUUUAUAAAUAUUUCUUAAAAAAUUUCAUAUUUUUAUCUUUUAAGGUAUUACUUCAAGGUUGGACUUAGAACUUUUGAAUGCUCCAAUAAGUUUUUAUACCCAUUAAUAUUAGUAAAUUAAGUAAUGCUAACAAAAGACAUUCAAUUCAAUAUUACGAACGGGGAUGUAUUGAAUGUCUUUAUUUUUUGUUGCAAUAAUUUAGAUAAAAAUGCAUAACCUAUUUUUAUUUUGCUUUAGCUUUUAGUCAUGUAAUUAAUACUCCCUUAUUAGUCUAUUUAUUUUAGCAUGACUUGGUGCUUUUAGAUUAUAUUUAUUAUUAUUAUGGCUUUUUAAGUAACAAUAUUUAUAUUACAUAAUUUUGUUGUCUUUAUUGUUAAAUAUUUUAGGAUAAUGUCAUAACACAUCUCAUAUUUUGUAUUAUUUUCUUGAAAAAAUACUUCAUAUAGUUGUAUCUUACUAGGAUUAAAGAAAUAUUUUGAGAAUAUAUUAUAUGUUUUGUUCUAUGAAUAAUUUACCGGAAAAAUAAUCCGAAAAAAUCAGAAUAACCCGAAAACCCGAGAAAAACCGACAUUGAAAAAUUCGAGUUUUACUAAUUUGGUUUAAUCUUUAGAUUUAAUAAUCUGACACAAUUGAUUUGGUUUAAUAAUUGUAAAAUUCGAACCAAACCGACAUAUGCACACCCUUAAUAGAAAUGAGUAAAUGUAUAUUCGACAUUUAAGCAAAGAAGCAUUCAAGAAAAAAAUCAGUCAAACCGUUUUGCGUAUUUAUUGUUUUUUCCUCUUUCUUAUAGAUAAUAAUAAAUAAAUGCUUGAUGUCACGUUAAUAUGUGAAAAGUUUCUGAAUUCUGUAAUUUAUUUUUGUACAAUCGGUUUUGGGGCAUAGGAUUAUGGAGCACUAAAAGUUCUUGUGAUAUAGAGAGAAACAAGAAUUUAGAAGCAAAGUUGUUUGGUAAGGAAUAAAACAGUUAUACCUAGAAUAAAAUAUAGCUUUAAAAAAGGAUUCUCCAUUUAUUAAUUGCAGGCGUCUAUGUCUGUAUGUGAGUACGAGAUAGAUAAAUCCCUUGCUGACAAGAACAAACGGAUGAUGAUAAAAGCAAUGUGUAUAAAGACAGAUUAGGACUAACUAGCUAGAUUUGAACAAAUUUUAUCUAAAACAAUGAAAGUGGUUCGCCACUAACUCAUGUUGGCCUGUGGCUAUUGUACGUAAAUGAAAAAUCAAACUUAUGCUAUUCAUAUCACUAGACAUAAAGGCAACCAUGGGAUCAAGUUGGUAUGCUUCUGCUUGCCACCAAUUUCCCUUCAUAGGGUCCCCUUCUUUUUACUUUUUUUCUUUUCUUUUCCUAUACUUUUUUUCCCGAUAUCUACUUGAUAUUACUUUUCUUUAAUUUGCUAAACAAAGAAAGAGUAAAUUGUUUAUUCAAAUACCAAUAACUUAAAAUAACUAAAACCUCAAACCUAUAAGCUCUAAAUUUUGGAUUCACCUCUAUUUUUCUUCAUCUAAUUAGUAUGCACGAUUAGCUUAAUUGCCAUCUUAGACACAUUCAAUAGAAGACUACGUACGUUAGGGAAAAAAGGUGGAAUGAGUUAGAAUUAUUUUCUUUAUAUUCCUUCUAAUAUAUUCUUAAGGGAGAAUCUAAAUUUAUUUGUAAUAACAGGUACUGCCAAUAAGAAAAGGGGAAAGUAGCCUCCAAGUUACAUUAUAAUUAUAAUUAAUAGUGGAAGAGGUCCCCCACCAAGGCUAAUUAAAGUGUUGGAGUACAAACGACCAGUACCAAGCAAAAAGAUCAGUGAAAAAGAAACCAUAAUUGAAAAAGGGUAGUACAGAUUCAAAAACUUUCACCAACACGAUAUUGAAACAAGCAAAAAGAAAGAAAGCAAUACAAACUCCCAAGCACAAAGCAUUAUAGUGUUGUUGAAUCUAAAAGGUAGAAAAUGAAAAGAAGGUUAUAAUCGAGAUGUAAUAGUCCUAUAUAUGGGUUUCCCAGAUCCAUUAGAAGAGAAAGAUAGAAAGGAAUUGAAAGAAAAAAAAAGGAACCUCUAGCUUAUCUAUGCUCUUGGAUGCCAAAAAUAGAAAAAUCAAAUGGUAUCAAGCUUUAGCUUGUUGUAAGCUAAAGGCUAUAAUUACUACGUUGCAAUCCCAAGCACGUCCGCGCCAGAAUCUUCACUGAUCAUGUCGCUCCAUUAAUUUUUCCCGGGUUUCCAUGCUGAAGCCCAAACCACAGGUUCAUCUCUCCAAGUCAAGUAAAUUCCAGGUGACUCUUGAUUUUCUUGUGGUAGCACAAGUGACCAUCCAGCCUUGUACCUCUUAAGCAAGGAC
rnacentral:lncRNA from 1 species